GUAGACCUACGGGAGGCAGCAGUGAGGAAUAUUGGUCAAUGGGCGGGAGCCUGAACCAGCCAAGUCGCGUGAGGGAAGACGGCCCUACGGGUUGUAAACUUCUUUUGUCAGGGAGCAAUUGGGUCCACGCGUGGGCUUAGCGAGAGUACCUGAAGAAAAAGCAUCGGCUAACUCCGUGCCAGCAGCCGCGGUAAUACGGAGGAUGCGAGCGUUAUCCGGAUUUAUUGGGUUUAAAGGGUGCGUAGGCGGAAUAUCAAGUCAGCGGUAAAAAUUCGGGGCUCAACCCCGUCGUGCCGUUGACACUG
rnacentral:rRNA from 1 species